GAGGCAGAGAUGGAGGUGGAUGAUGGGCCUGCAGAUUGCUGGAUACAGACGUGAUCCUACUGCCAGGAGAAUAAAGCCAGGGAUGAGAUCUGAUAAACUUAAGCAGAUCUACAAAGCCCAUCCUCCCCUUCCCAGGCCCAAGGAUUGCCUCAGAGGAUGUGAUGUUCAGAGCUGCAAAAUCAUUUCUGGAACAUAAGCCUGAGACCAGCCUGAAGAAAAGAUCUGACACUAAAGGUGGAUAAAAGGCUUUCAAAUCAAUGGCACCCCUGAGAAUAUGGUGAGUCUCUACGUCCAACCACACUGGAAGCCAUAGUCUCCUGAAUCCAUCAGUAUGUGAAUGCACAAAUUCCAUUAUUUGCUCAGGCCAGUUUCAAAUGGGUUUUUGUUUUUUGAAACAUAAACUAUCCUAAGUGAUAGAC